GAUGCUGUAGCUCAAUGGCAGAGCGAGGGCCUGUUAAGUCCGGGGUUGGAGGUUCGAGUCCUCCGAGCAUCG
rnacentral:tRNA from 1 species